rnacentral:rRNA from 1 species
AUUGAACGCUGGCGGAAUGCUUUACACAUGCAAGUCGAACGGCAGCACGGGGCAACCUGGUGGCGAGUGGCGAACGGGUGAGUAAUACAUCGGAACGUGCCCAAUCGUGGGGGAUAACGUAGCGAAAGUUACGCUAAUACCGCAUACGAUCUACGGAUGAAAGCGGGGGAUCGCAAGACCUCGCGCGAGUGGAGCGGCCGAUGUCAGAUUAGGUAGUUGGUGGGGUAAAGGCUCACCAAGCCAACGAUCUGUAGCUGGUCUGAGAGGACGACCAGCCACACUGGAACUGAGACACGGUCCAGACUCCUACGGGAGGCAGCAGUGGGGAAUUUUGGACAAUGGGCGCAAGCCUGAUCCAGCCAUUCCGCGUGCAGGAUGAAGGCUCGGUGUAACUGCUUUGUUACGGAACGAACGGCGAGCUCUAAUACAGUUUGCUAAUGACGGUACCGUAAGAAUAAGACACCGGCUAACUACGUGCCAGCAGCCGCGGUAAU